rnacentral:rRNA from 1 species
GUAAGGAAUAUUGGUCAAUGGACGCAAGUCUGAACCAGCCAUGCCGCGUGAAGGAUGAAGGUCCUCUGGAUUGUAAACUUCUUUUAUCUGGGACGAAAACGGGAUUUUUAUCUCAAUUGACGGUACCAGAGGAAUAAGCACCGGCUAACUCCGUGCCAGCAGCCGCGGUAAUACGGAGGGUGCGAGCGUUAUCCGGAUUUACUGGGUUUAAAGGGUGCGUAGGUGGGCUUAUAAGUCAGUGGUGAAAUCUCCGAGCUUAACUUGGAAACUGCCGUGGAUACUAAAGGUCUUGAAUUAUCUGGAGGUAAGCGGAAUAUGUCAAGUAGCGGUGAAAUGCUUAGAUAUGACAUAGAACACCAAUUGCGAAGGCAGCUUACUACAUAUAAAUUGACGCUGAGGCACGAAAGCGUGG